rnacentral:lncRNA from 1 species
ACAUCUUCUUCAAUGGGGCCUGGGAGCGGGAGAAAGCCGUGUCCUUCUACCGGGGACCGGGUCCUGGCCCUGGCCCUGGCAGUGACUAUGGGCAACUGCAAGGCGGGAGCUGCAGCUACAGCUGUGCAAAAAAGCUGGUGGCACUCCUGCCACCCUGGAGGAGCCCAGGAGGCUUGGGAGUUUGCCUACAUGGCCCUAGCACUCAGCAUCACUCUGGGGGACCAGUGAACGAGCGCAUGGCCUACCACGGCUGGCCGCCCUGCACCACCGGCUGGGCCAUGGCAAGC